AAAUUGAAGUCUAUCCAAAUUUUUAAGCUAUUAAACCAAAAAAACCAACCCUUAUUCGAAUCCUAUUAAUAUUUCUAAUAAAAAGCAAUCAAAAAGGUUUUAGCUAAACAACUAUUAGUAAUGUUUGGCCGACCGUCCCUAGUGCAAGUGACAAAGGGCUUGAUGGUUGGUACCGAGAUCCCAAGUUCGAAUUUUAGUUGAUUUAUAUUUUUAGCUAAAUUUAUUUCUAAAAAAUAAACGAAGUGAAUAACAUGCUUACCUUUCUCUCUCUCUCUAAAAAAAAACAAACAAUUAGUAGUGCUGUUUAAUUUGAUGCCCUUGAGUUGGACAAAAAGGCCUGACAAGUACAAAGAAUAUUAACAGUAAAGAUACCUACUGUAUGAUUACAUGAAUUAAUCACUUUGUAAUGUCUCAAAUGUUUAAAGAGAGGACUAUAUGGUAAUUUGGAUGUGGCAAUAAGAUUUUUUUUUUUUUGUUUUUUUUUUUUUUGAGAGAUAGGUAGCACGCUACCCGCUUCGUUUAGAAAUAAACUUAGCUAGAAAUGUGAAUCAACUAGGAUUCGAACUUAGAUCUCGGAUACCAACUACCAAGCCUUUUGCCACUUGCUCUAAGGACAGUCGGUGGCAAUAAAAUUAUUUAUGUCACCAUCACUUCCUUUUAUCCCCCUCUGUUAUUCCCCAUUUCCUU
rnacentral:lncRNA from 1 species